GUAGGGAAUAUUGCACAAUGGGCGCAAGCCUGAUGCAGCAACGCCGCGUGCGCGAUGAAGGCCUUCGGGUCGUAAAGCGCUUUUCUGGAGGAAGAGCAAGGACGGUACUCCAGGAAGAAGGAUCGGCUAACUACGUGCCAGCAGCCGCGGUAACACGUAGGAUCCGAGCGUUAUCCGAAUUUACUGGGCGUAAAGCGCGUGCAGGCGGUUUGGUAAGUUGGACGUGAAAUCUCCCGGCUCAACUGGGAGGGGUCGUUCAAGACUGUCAGACUAGAGGGCAGUAGAGGGAGGUGGAAUUCCCGGUGUAGUGGUGAAAUGCGUAGAUAUCGGGAGGAACACCAGUGGCGAAAGCGGCCUCCUGGGCUGCACCUGACGCUCAGACGCGAAAGCUAGGGGAGCGAACGGGAUUAGAAACCCCAGUAGUCC
rnacentral:rRNA from 1 species